AUACCUACCCAACGCCUCUUUGAACUCAUUUAUUUAAUUUUAACUAAGCCUAAUGAUACAUUAAAUUAGAUCUAUUUUUAUAGAAAAAAGGAUGAGAAAUUCAGAGAUACCAUCAGUUUUUUCAUAGGUCAGACCGUUACGGUGCUAUAAAAAUCCAAACAUGAAAAUUCCUGCCUGCUGGCUUAAUAAUUUCGAACUUCGCACUUUACUCUAUGUAUAUUAUAAUAUGAUGUAGAUCUUGUCUCUAUAUCUUAGUAUCUAGUCUACUAGAUCUACUAUGAUCAGUAUGAACUAUCUAUGAUCUAGAUCUAUCUAGUGGACUAGUCAAUCUUAGAUCUAGAUCUAAUUAUCGACUUCUAGUAGUAGUACUACUACUAGUAGAUCUCUAGUCAGAUCUAGAUAUGAUUAUUAAUGAUAGAGAUAGAAUCUAGAUAGACUCUAGAGACAGAUAUAUAGAUAGUGAUAUAGCCAAUAUACUGAAUAUUAUUGAAUAUACUAUAAGGCCUACUAUUCUACUUUACUGUCUUUAGUUUAGGGUGGAGGCCUUAGAGUAUGUUAUAUAUGAUAUAUGGUAUAGAUUAUAUUUCUAGAAUUCUAGAUCUAAUAGAAGAUCUACUUAGAUUUUGGAAUCUCUCUCUUAGUUUUAGUUUUAUAAAUCUAGCUAGAUUGUGAAGUAGAUGGGGCUUAGAGUAUAGUGUAAUAUGGUAUAUAUAGUAUAAGCUGCUAUAUAAAAUUAAACUAUUCAUGGUUUUACUUUCAAAUUCACUUCUAGCUUUAUGAUGCAGAGCUAGAUUUUAUAGAUUUAAAGACAGCUAUUGUUAAUAAAAACAAUCAAUGAAAGUGAUAUCCGCUGAAAUAGAAAAGUGAAGACUGUGUGUGGAAGUUUGCCAAAGCCAAGCUUUGGAUUUCUUUCAUAGAGCCUGGGACAACACUCUCAAUACCUUUUGAUAUCAUUCCAACACCUAUAGCUGUGGUGAGACUAUUUCGAGGUCUCAGGACUUUAUUUCUUAUCAAUCGGGCAAAGGAAGAAUCACAUUCAAUAUCUUUUUAACAGGAUUUGUUUCACUUUUCACUGCCCAGGUAAAACAGAAGAAAACAAAAUUGAAUGAUAGUAACAUUUUACUGAAAUCCAAAAGGGAAAAUAAUUUUCUUUCACUAAGUUGAGAAAAAUGAUGACCUUCUUGUUUAAAACUUAUUUAAAAUGUUAUUUUUUUCUUUGUUUUAUGUCAGUUUUGCUCUAAUUUAGCCUAAAUCGUGUUUUACACAAAGCUGAUUAAAUUAAAUUACUACUAUUAUGUAGAUGCAUUUUUUUAUAAGUAAUGCUGAAAAUGCAUAUUGAAUUGUUAUUAUUAUUAUUGUUUUUGCAUUGCAUUGAAAGAGAAUGUCAUAAGAAAUGGAAAUGGUUUUGUUCCUUAAAUAGCUAUUGCAUAAGAUUGCUUCACUAAUCUCGCAUUCCCUGUGUAUCAGUCCCUCCAUAGACCUUCUAUAGUUCUUUGAAGUAUAUUUCAUAUUAAGGUAUAUAUUAUCUCUUUUAAAUGUAGGAAGGGAUUUAUUUGCAAUGGGUUUUUCAUUAUACUAGAAAAAGUAUCGCCAUUAUUUCCUUUAAUUUUAAGAAAUCGGUCUAAUUGAAAUGGUAAAAAUUAAUCUAAUUUUAUGAAUUACAGAUGUCACUUUAAAAAAGAAGAUGAUUAAGGCCUAUGCAUGUUUCUAGGUCAAUCUAGUCAUGCAUGUUGAUCAUUGACUGAAAUUCUGCCAAGUCUUAGGUUUUGUGACUCACUUAGGCAGCCCAUUCCAUGCUCUAGGGAAGAAGGAGCAUUUAUACAAAUUUGCCCCUAGCGUAUGGAACAAGAAAUGUGCCUUUAUCUUUGUGUCUGAGUAUUUUAUUGGGUUUUGUUUUUGUAUUUGAAGAUUAUGGUUCAGUGUUUUAUGUAUAAUUGCUACUUUUAAGUCUUCUAUCCUGAAGGCUUUCUUAAUUAAGUGAUUUUAGUGCCUAAGAAUUAUACAAAGGCCCAGUGGCUGAAUGAAAUAGGACUUUCAGUGUUAAAAUUCUAUAAUAUUAGGUUAAAAACAGACAAAAUGCAGUAGGCUAUAUUUCAGCUUUAUCCAAUACCACACAGGAAAUAUUUUUUUCUUGAGCACGAGAAUUUUGCCAUCCACUCACUACAUAGAAACUUAACUUUAUUUGAAUAUUUUUUGUAUUUUGUCUAAAUAUUGUUUAAAGAAAUUAACACCAUAAUAUUUUUUAAGAUGAAUGUUUGCUGUUGUAUUUAGAAAUGGUAAAUCUUCACAGACAUUGCAAUGUUAUCUUUUGAAUUUAUUCCCUAAUCAAGUAAUCAUGCAUCACGUGCCCUCAGAUAUGUACACAAAAUGAAGUUUGAGAAGAAAGAGAAAGGAUCAAGAUGAUUUACAAGACACUAAAGAAGUUAUCUAUCAACUAUACUCAAUGUAUGGACAACUUGCAGCCAGACUAGAAUUAUAGAGAAAGAUGUUUUUCUGCUGGCUAAACAUGUAUGGAUAAUGAUGCAGAGAAUUUCCUGGUGAUCAAGAAUUAGGAGCUGCACACAGUUUAAUGAAACCAUAUUUUAGGAACAGAUAGAAAACAAAGAACUGCAGCAAAGAUGGCCUGUUUUUAUUCUUCCUCAUG